rnacentral:rRNA from 1 species
UGACUGUACCCUAAGAAUAAGGUCCGGCUAACUUCGUGCCAGCAGCCGCGGUAAUACGAAGGGACCUAGCGUAGUUCGGAAUUACUGGGCGUAAAGCGCGCGUAGGCCGUUGAGUUAGUUAAUUGUGAAAUCCCAAAGCUUAACUUUGGAACUGCAAUUAAAACUGCUCGACUAGAGUUUGAUAGAGGAAAGCGGAAUACAUAGUGUAGAGGUGAAAUUCGUAGAUAUUAUGUAGAACACCAGUUGCGAAGGCGGCUUUCUGGAUCAACACUGACGCUGAGGCGCGAAAGUAUGGGUAGCAAAGAGGAUUAGAUACCCUCGUAGUCCAUACCAUAAACGAUGAUUGCUAGAUGUUGGAAAUUUAUUUUCAGUAUCGCAGCUAACGCAUUAAGCAAUCCGCCUGGGGAGUACGACCGCAAGGUUAAAACUCAAAUGAAUUGACGGGGACCCGCACAAGCGGUGGAGCAUGUGGUUUAAUUCGAAGAUACGCGCAGAACCUUACCAACCCUUGACAUGUCUGUCGCGAGUUUAGGAAACUAGACUUUUCGGUUCGGCCGGACAGAACACAGGUGCUGCAUGGCUGUCGUCAGC